AGUGAACGCUGGCGGUAGGCCUAACACAUGCAAGUCGAACGGCAGCACAGUAAGAGCUUGCUCUUACGGGUGGCGAGUGGCGGACGGGUGAGGAAUACAUCGGAAUCUACUUUUUCGUGGGGGAUAACGUAGGGAAACUUACGCUAAUACCGCAUACGACCUACGGGUGAAAGCAGGGGAUCUUCGGACCUUGCGCGAUUGAAUGAGCCGAUGUCGGAUUAGCUAGUUGGCGGGGUAAAGGCCCACCAAGGCGGCGAUCCGUAGCUGGUCUGAGAGGAUGAUCAGCCACACUGGAACUGAGACACGGUCCAGACUCCUACGGGAGGCAGCAGUGGGGAAUAUUGGACAAUGGGCGCAAGCCUGAUCCAGCUAUACCGCGUGGGUGAAGAAGGCCUUCGGGUUGUAAAGCCCUUUUGUUGGGAAAGAAAAGCAGCAGGUUAAUACCCCGCUGUUCUGACGGUACCCAAAGAAUAAGCACCGGCUAACUUCGUG
rnacentral:rRNA from 1 species